GCUAACGUAGCUUAAUUAAAGCAUA
rnacentral:tRNA from 2 species